GUGGACUCCCUGGGUGCUGGUGUAAUCUGGAAGCUACGUGCCAGUUUCAUAGCUUGUUGAACUUUGGAAGUUAAGUUUUUUUUUUUUCCAGUGUUGGAUUGAUGUUGUUGCAGUUAUGUCAGAGGCCAUCCUCACCUUCCAGUACCAGCUCAAUGGCGUCAUGGAAACGGUCCUCAAAACCGCUGUGCAUGAGAUCACUUGGCUGGUGAAGUACAGCUUCCUAGAAGAAGUGACAGGGAGCAAGCGGGAAGUUGACGUCUUGAAGGAGAGGCUGCAGCAGUGUGAACACAGAUGAAGGGAUGGAGAGGAGAAGAGGAGGGAAGAUAAAGAGCAGAAAAAGAAGAGGGAAGAGUGCGAGCCGAGGGGGAUGUGUUGGAGAUGUGGUUGUGCUGGAGACACUGAGGAGAGAGAAGAGGCUCUGUUAGCAGAGGAAGGUUGUGUUAUCAAACAGGAGAUCUUCCAGUCAGGUGGACCCAGCACUCUCCCAGAGAGAAAGGGUCCACAGGAAAUGGCCACACCCAGCUCUUCCUGUGUUUCUGAAAGGAUGGAAGAGAGGGAGGCCCAUGUCGUCUGCAUCAAAGAGGAGCCUGAUGACUGGGGGGGAUCUGAUUACCCAGAUGAUCACAUCCACAUAUUCCCCCAUUAUGAGCCAGAGUCGUCUGGAGAGAUUGAAGUCACAUCAUGGGGCCAGUGAGCUUCUUCCUACAGUACCAGCACCAUGGACCAGGAAAGAGCAGCACCUACUCCCAAGGUCAGUGAUACCCACCCAGGGAACAGAGCAUGCUGUGGGUGCCCUCAAGGACAGCCCCUACGGCCUGAUGAUCAACACAACGGCAGAGCUGGUGUCAAACCCUACAGCUGCCCACACUGUGGGAAGAGCUUCCCUCAGCUCUGAAAUCUGAAAGACCACCAGAAGUACCACCACACAGGGAAGAAGGCCUUCACCUGCUCCCAGUGUGGUAAGGGUUUUGCGUACGUGUGCCACCUCAGGGUACACAUGCAGCGCCACACGGGGGACAGGCCGUUCAGCUGCUCUCAGUGUGGGAAAAGCUUCAGCCUUCAGAGCGGCUUGAAGAGACGCAUGGUCCUUAACAGAUUCAAUUCUAGAGUGGACCUGAAAAGACAUGAACAGAUAGAUUCAUGCAGCAAGGUAGACCUUUGAGAUGAAGCAGGUUGAUUGGGGGGGAAUAACUGCCCAUGUGUACUAUGUUCAAUGUAUCUAUUAGUUGCUGAUUCAUUUAAUGUUGAGAGGAAUAAAACUAUUUUUAUAAAUAAA